rnacentral:lncRNA from 1 species
AGAGAAGGUAGGCAGUGCUUGCAAAGGCCUGAGCACUGCAAGAAUGGACUAAUACGCUAUGUGAAGACAAAGGGGAUGUCUGCAAGCCAGGACGAGUGCGUCUACCAGAAACUGAGUUCUGCUGGACUUUGAUCUAGGACAUCCAGCCUCCAGAAUGGAAUGUGCCAUAUGUGGAGACCUGCAUGGAAAGGAACUGAGGAUGCUCUCUCACUAAAAGCUAGAAGGAACUGAGGCCCUCAGUCAACAGUCUACAAGACACUGAAUCUUGCCAGCAGCCAAGCAGUGAGCUUGAAAGCAGAUCUAUCAUCAGCUGAACCUUCAGAUGAGACCGCAGCCUAAGCAGAUACCUUGGUUGCAGCCAUGUGAGACAACCUGAAACAGAGGGCACAGCUAAGCCUCAGCCAGGUUCAUGACCCUCUGAGGAAACUGUGAGAAAGCAAAUGUCAUUUUAAGCUAUUUAAUUUUGGAGGUAGUUUAUUACACAACAAUAAAUAACUAUUAUAAUUAUCUUGAGGAUUUAUUUCCUGGGGAGAAUACAUGGAAUUGCAUAUAUAGGUCCUCAUAUGCAGAAUACUGGUACCCUAGAGAUGUUCACCCCAGAGAUGUUUUAGGAACCUGUGAAUAUGUUACAUUAAAUGGCAAAGUUUUCCUGGAUGGUUUAAGUUUAAGAUGGAAAAGUUUUACUGGAUUAUCCAGUGGGUCCAAUCUAGUAACAUGAGUCCUUAAAAAUGGAGAAUAUUUUUUGGCCAUGAUCAGAGAGACAUGUGAUGAUGGAAAAAGUGUCAGAGAUGCAAUGUGAGGGGACUAAAACUGCUGUUGCUGACUUUAAAGAUGGAGAGAGGGGAACCCGAGUCAAGGAAUGCAAAUGGCCUCUGGAAGCUGGAAAAAGCAAGAAAUGGAUUCUCCUUUAGAGCCUGUGGAAUAAAAUGCAGUCAUGCUGACACCUUGAUUUUACCUCAGUGAGACCAAUACUGGAGUAUGACCUUCGGAGCUCGCAAAGGCCACAUAAGGACAGUGAGAAGGCAGCCACCUGCAAGCCAGGAAGAAAGGUCUCACCAGAUACCAACCCUGCCAGCAUGUUGAUCUUGGACUUCCAGCCUCCAAAACUGGCCUUCUGCUCACAUGGGCUUCCGUGCACCUGCUUCAGGAGACAGCAACACUUGCGCCCGCACCGCGGCAGGCUCCCAUCACCUGGUGGAUAUGCCGCGCCGAGUCUCAUCACACCUUAGUGAAGGAACACAUGGACCCAUAUGUUAGCGGAUGUAUUUACAUCGUUUUAUACAGAAAGGGGAAGUAUGUUUCACAAUAAAUGUUUGCAUACUUUG